rnacentral:misc_RNA from 1 species
GAUGAAGAACGUAGUGAAAUGCGAUACGUAAUGUGAAUUGCAGAAUUCAGUGAAUCAUCGAAUCUUUGAACGCAUAUUGCGCUCUCUGGUAUUCCGGAGAGCAUGCUUGUUUGAGUAUCAGUAAACACCUCAACUCCCUUUUCUUUUUUGAAAUUGGAGCUGGACUUGAGUGAUCCCAACGCUUUCUUCCAAGAAAGUGGCGGGUUGCUUGAAAUGCAGGUGCAGCUGAACUUUUCUCUGAGCUAUAAGCAUAUCUAUUUAGUCUGCCUAAAAAACAGAUUAUUACCUUUGCUGCAGCUAACAUAAAGGAGACUAGUUCUUGUGCUGACAGAUGCAGGAUUCACAGAGACAGCUUCGGCUGACUUUGUAAACUCGAUCUCAAAUCAAGUAAGACUACCCGCUGAACUUAAGCAUAUCAAUAAGCGGAGGA